rnacentral:rRNA from 1 species
GAAUAUUGGACAAUGGGGGGAACCCUGAUCCAGCCAUGCCGCGUGUGUGAAGAAGGCCUUUUGGUUGUAAAGCACUUUAAGCGAGGAGGAGGCUACCGAGAUUAAUACUCUAGGAUAGUGGACGUUACUCGCAGAAUAAGCCCCGGCUAACCCCGCGCACGCAGCCGCGGUAAUACAGAGGGUGCAAGCGUUAAUCGGAUUUACUGGGCGUAAAGCGCGCGUAGGUGGCCAAUUAAGUCAAAUGUGAAAUCCCCGAGCUUAACUUGGGAAUUGCAUUCGAUACUGGUUGGCUAGAGUAUGGGAGAGGAUGGUAGAAUUCCAGGUGUAGCGGUGAAAUGCGUAGAGAUCUGGAGGAAUACCGAUGGCGAAGGCAGCCAUCUGGCCUAAUACUGACACUGAGGUGCGAAAGCAUGGGGAGCAAACAG